rnacentral:rRNA from 1 species
CAGCAGCCGCGGUAAUACGUAGGUGGCAAGCGUUGUCCGGAAUUAUUGGGCGUAAAGCGCGCGCAGGUGGUUCCUUAAGUCUGAUGUGAAAGCCCCCGGCUCAACCGGGGAGGGUCAUUGGAAACUGGGGAACUUGAGUGCAGAAGAGGAUAGUGGAAUUCCAAGUGUAGCGGUGAAAUGCGUAGAGAUUUGGAGGAACACCAGUGGCGAAGGCGACUGUCUGGUCUGUAACUGACACUGAGGCGCGAAAGCGUGGGGAGCAAACAGGAUUAGAUACCCCCGUAGUCCCUGUCUCUUAUAC